ACACACACACAAACCCUUUGCAAGGACUGCCCCGCCGGCAAGGGCCCGUUUGCGAGGCUGCGGCCGUGCAAUUAGAGCAUCUCGCCGCAGUCUGUUCCCUGCGCUGUUAUUCUAGCCGGUUUGUGGUUUCGGGCCUUACGUGAAGAUCAGCGUUGCGUCACUUGCACCCAAUGCGCUCUCUGGCACUCAGGUUUAAGGAGUGCUCUGGCUUUGUGCUUUGCAAUGUUUGGGUUGCGAGCAGGAAAGAGCAGGUGCGGCAGCGAGGUGCACGUGGUGCGGCCCAGAUGUGAGGACUGGUGCUGGAGGGUUGCUCUCUCUGGAAGCCUCACAGAUCUGGUGCCCUGCAGAAGGCUGAUUUCUUUAUGGCAUUGCCAGAAAUGUUUGCCCAAGUGACAUCCACUCACUAAUGCUGCCCAUGCAGAUGACAUGCAAGUAUUUCCUAGAUGUUCUUGUAACCAUCAGUACAAACAACUUUGUUCCCGAUGGCUUUGGCCAGCCCAGCAUGGUGACCUUCCACCCACCACUGAAAUAGAAGCAGCUUUUUGGAAGAACUCUUGUGACCCUGGAGGAUGCAUGCCACUUCUUGCAGUCCGGGAAUUCCAUCCACAGGGGUAGUGUUCUGGGAUGGUCGCCCUGAUAGGCGCAGCCUAUCUGGAAAACUGGAAGCUGGAAUGCCUGAUAAAAAUAACUAUGUGUUCUAUGACUGUGAGAACUGGACCACAAGGAAACCAAGCACCAAAGCAUUGAUGCUUUUGAAUUGUGUUGGAGAAGACUUCAGAGCGUCCCUUGGACUGCAAAGAAAUCAAAUCAGUCGAUCCUAAAGGAAAUCAACCCCGGCUGUCUAGAAAGACAGGUACUGAAGCUGAAGUUCGAAUACUUUGGCCACCUAAUGAGAAAAAUGGACUCACUGGAGAAGACCCUGAUGCCAGGAACGAUUGCUGGCAAAAGGAGAAGGGGACAGCAGAGGAUGAGAUGGUUAAGUAGCGUCACUGAUGCAAUGAGCAUGAAUUUGGGUGGACUCUGGGAGGCGGGGAGGAUGGGGGGCUGCUGUGCCAUCCAUGGGGUCGCAAGGAGUCGGGCAUGGCUCUGAGACUGAACAACAGCAACAAGAACUCUGAGAAUGCUUUUGCUUUGAAGUGCAGGUCACAGAACCAUUGAAUAGUAGAGCUGGAAGGGGCCUAUAAAACCACAGAUACUCUAAUUUCUCUAGUACGUGUGAUGUGCAGAUAUCUCAAAAUCAAUUCUACCGCUGUGCAGGAUCCAGCAUGACCAGUGUGUUUGGGACAUGUGGAAGUACCGCGAGACAGUCCUUCAGUCCUGCGAGCAUCUACGAUGCGCACUGCAUUUGGGGGAAAGCGCCAUUAUAACCGCCAGCCACCGGGGCUUUGGCAUCCUUGCUUUCUAAACGGCGGUUGUGCAUCCGUGCAACGCUCCAAGGGACAACCCUCCCUCUUCUGUUGUGCUGUGUACCACGGCAGCAGAAGCAGAGCCAGCCGCCCAAGCAUCCCAUCCUUGCCCCACUGUCCUGUCCCCGUGUUCCGGGGUGCUUUUGCCUACCCCCUGCCCCACUGCAUGCAGGAGUACCUGUUAGAACAUAGGCUUAGUGUGGGUGCUGCCACCGGAUUUCCUACUUCAAUGGGCCUCCAAGGAUGGGACACACUUCUACAGCUGGGAGGGUGCAGACUGGUCCAACCUGCUUGGCCUGACCAUUCUAGAAGUGCCAUGCGGGGGACAUGAAGGGGGGCAAGAUGAGAAGCAGGGAAAUCAGGGAAGCAUGUCGCCAUCUACCCACUUAUUCCAGGACCAGCUCUACAGACAGUCUGAAGCACUCCAGUGUGGAAGCAAGCUUUUCCGGCCCUUCCGACCGGAGAUCUUUUAAUGCGAUUUGCCAGGGCUUGUCUCUGGAUCCACCGGGAGACAAAUUUUGUGCUAAACUGCUAUGCUGGAUUAUUCCAAAAAUGCGUCACAAGUCAACUACAGGAAGGCCUGAGGAGACGGAGGGCGGCGAAAGGCAGCUGAAUCUCGCUGCUUCCUAACUAGAUCAGUUUCUCCAACAGAGAAGCUUUUUUAUGGCUCAAAAUUAGCCUUGUCAAGCAGCGUACGCAUGUUGAGCCCUCCCCCCCCAUCCUCCCCAGCAGUUUAAGAUCUUCUGAGGGCCUCCUUGGAGCCCUGAUAGUAAAGGCUUCCCUAGGUGAAGUUUAUUCAACUUCCUUUUUGGAAAGCUGAAAUCGUUCUUCUUUGCAGAAAACCUUUGAUUUUAAAAGCUGCUUGGCCCUUAUUUGCAAUCUUGCCUGCUGUUAUACAGAACGUAGCAUUCAUUCUUUUGAAAUUCUUCCAAAAUUUUACAAAAUGGCAGUAGAAAGAGCUUUUAAAUAAAUUUUAGAAACCAGAAA